rnacentral:rRNA from 1 species
UACGGAGGGUGCAAGCGUUAUCCGGAUUCACUGGGUUUAAAGGGUGCGUAGGCGGGUUGGUAAGUCCGUGGUGAAAUCCCCAAGCUUAACUUGGGAACUGCCGUGGAUACUAUCAAUCUUGAAUAUCGUGGAGGUAAGCGGAAUAUGUCAUGUAGCGGUGAAAUGCUUAGAUAUGACAUAGAACACCAAUUGCGUAGGCAGCUUACUACACGAUCAUUGACGCUGAGGCA